rnacentral:lncRNA from 1 species
GGAAAUUUGGAAGAUUUGAUGAAGGAAGAGAGGGAGAGAUGGGGAUAAAAGAAUGGGUGGCUUGAGUAGAUUUUCCAGUAGCUUGAUGAUUGCUUGGUCGUGCUUUAGAUGGUUGUUUUACUAGGUAGGAGGUGCCUCCUUUUAUAUGCGCUGGAAGCCUCUUUGGUCCAGGAAUCCUAGUUGGCUCUCCCCAAAUUUUGCCACGUCUUCUCCUUCAUUUCUCUUCACUUCCUUCGAUUUAUCCUCUUUGGUGAAAAUUCCUUAAUCCAAGCACACUGGGGCAGAGCUUUUUGAAGCUCCAAGGUUUUCCUGCAGCUGACUCCUUCCAUCCUGGGUGAGACGCCUCUUACUUUUCCUUUUUGUUUUCCUAUCAAAGCUGGCAGAGGAAAGAAUGGGUAAGGGUGCUGGUCUAAAAGGUGUCUUACUUCCAGUAGCUCGCGCACAUGGGUUUCACUUGGUUUUGAUUUGGUUUUAAUAGGGUGCUGGGGUAUUUUCGAAGGUGCUGGAUAUUGGAUAUUUUCUAAGUUGCUGGGCUAUUUUUCUCUUUUAUGCUUACUCAUAUAUUUGGGCUCAAGAAAUGGGCCUGAAUUUGGUGCUCCCAAGCAGCCCAAAACUUUGACUCUUUGGACCAUCAAUGUGCUUCAUGAACACUCGUAACCAUCCAUACCAUAACCCGCUAAACAAGCCUCACGCAUUUGCAUGGCUUGGACUCACUUAAGCUUGUAAGGUGGAUCGGUACUAAAAUAAAGGUUUUUUUUUCGCUCGACGCUGUGUGUCAUGUGGCGUGUUUAUGCUUGAUCUCUGCCAUAUUGAAACGGGCUAUGGCCAGGCCAAGUGGUGCUUGACGGGACAAUAAGCACGGGUUCAUGGAACCAGUACAUUUCACAGGCUCGUUGCCACCUCUCUGCGUGGCAGGUUACGUAUUUGCUUGGUGUGGCACGCAGACCAUAACUUGUGCAAGCGCAUACGACAAAUUCUUACAUACCACAGUUGGGCUUCUUUCUCGAUUGAGUGUUGUAAUGGGUUAGAAAUAUAUCUGGGUCUAGCCUUGAAAUUUCAGAGCCUCAACAUUAGCCCCAUUGAUUAUUGGGGCCAUGAAUAGGUAUUGAAAUGGGCUAAAUAAUCAAAUCCAACCCAAAAAUCAAAUUCAAGGUAGUGACGUGACCAUUCUCUUCCUACGUGUAUGAUGACGGCAUGCCAUGAUGACCUUCCAGCGAUUGUUUAUUCUUCCUAGGUACUCCUACGAUUGCAUAUUUCUCUUCCUUUUCUUUCUUUUCCCUUUUUUUUUAUUUGCGUGUUUAGGGGGCGAGAUAAAACCUUCCCUUCCCUUUCUUUUUUAAUUUAUUUAAAUUUUCUUAUCUCAACCAUUCUUCUUUUUUCUUCUUUUCUGAGCGACUUAGAGCGAGAGAAGACUAAAGCAAAGGGAGAGCACCGCUCUAUUGCCGUUGGAAGGGAGCCUAAGCUGAUCUCCAGCUCCCUCAUCGCUCGCGUGAAGAAACCUAGUUGCGGUUGCUAAAAGAAACUACCUUUAUCGUGGACUCCUCUUCAAAAUCCCUAAUUUCUACCUUUUUGUUUGUUUGAAGCAAGCUUAUGAGGAGGAUGCCUUCGUGAAACAAAGUAUUGCCCUCUCCUUUCAUUAUUUCUGAAUCUAUUGAAGGGUAGCAUGCUUUGAUCGAUUCCUUAUCCUUAUAUAGAGGUUUUAUUUUGGCAGCUAAAUACCAAACUCCCCGGCUCAUUCACCUUUCGUCGUCGUCAGUGUAUCAAGGGCUUCCACGUCGCAGCCGUUGGAAAGAAGGGAUUGCCCAAGUUUUCGGGGUUUUUUUUUGUUUUUUUUGUUUUGGUUGGAAUUUGCUAGCUGUUGGAAGGGCGCUCCAUGAGGGAGAGCCACUGGUGAAUAUCACUCCCCUCUUUUGCUCUGCUUCAUUAGUAUGCUGGGCAUUCUAGCGUUGGUGAAAAACACUAAGAUUUGCAUAUUGCAUUUUCCCACAGCUGCAGGCCUCUGAAUCUUUGGAAUAUGGAGAGUGAAGGCGCUGGAACCUUGUGUUGUAUUUCUUGCUGCUGGAAACUUUGAGCAUACCCAAUUCCAUAAUUUAGGUAUUUGAGCUUUUGCUUCUUUUGGUAAGCAGUUCUUCCUAAUUGUUGGGGUCAUUGAUUUUUCUUUGAUUUUCUAGGAAUAGAUACAAACUAGUGUUUUGGCCUAGGCUUGUUUUUGUAGACGCUUGCUUGACUCUCAGGCUCCCUUUUUUUUUUCUUUUUUUUUUUUGUGUGUGGGUGUUGUUGGCAGGAUUGGUCAAGCCUGAACAAUUUUUCUUUGCUUGUCAUGGGUUUCAGUAAUAAAUGGCAUGAUACUCCAAAAUUCAUUUAGGCAUUUCUCUUGUUGUGAGAUAGUUUGUUCUGCUUGGUAUGUAGAAUUCAUACUGCUCGCAUGCUAUUAUAGGGAUCGCUUGAUUAUUAUUAUCUGCGUGCC